GAUGAACGCUGGCGGCGUGCCUAAUACAUGCAAGUCGAGCGAACAGAUGAGGAGCUUGCUCCUCUGACGUUAGCGGCGGACGGGUGAGUAACACGUGGAUAACCUACCUAUAAGACUGGGAUAACUUCGGGAAACCGGAGCUAAUACCGGAUAAUAUAUUGAACCGCAUGGUUCAAUAGUGAAAGACGGUUUUGCUGUCACUUAUAGAUGGAUCCGCGCCGCAUUAGCUAGUUGGUAAGGUGACGGCUUACCAAGGCAACGAUGCGUAGCCGACCUGAGAGGGUGAUCGGCCACACUGGGACUGAGACACGGUCCAGACUCCUACGGGAGGCAGCAGUAGGGAAUCUUCCGCAAUGGGCGAAAGCCUGACGGAGCAACGCCGCGUGAGUGAUGAAGGUCUUCGGAUCGUAAAACUCUGUUAUUAGGGAAGAACAAAUGUGUAAGUAACUAUGCACGUCUUGACGGUACCUAAUCAGAAAGCCACGGCUAACUACGUG
rnacentral:rRNA from 1 species